rnacentral:rRNA from 1 species
UACAGAGGGUGCGAGCGUUAAUCGGAAUUACUGGGCGUAAAGCGCACGUAGGCGGCUUGGUAUGUCGGGUGUAAAAUCCCCGGGCUCAACCUGGGAACUGCAUCCGAAACUGCCUUGCUAGAGUAUGGGAGAGGGAAGUGGAAUUUCCGGUGUAGCGGUGAAAUGCGUAGAUAUCGGAAGGAACAUCAGUGGCGAAGGCGACUUCCUGGACCAAUACUGACGCUCAGGUGCGAAAGCGUGGGGAGCAAACAGG